CCGGCGACCGGCGGACGGGUGCGUAACGCGUAUGUAACCUACCUUUGACAGGGGGAUAACAUCGAGAAAUUGGUACUAAUACCCCAUAACAUCACCGGAGGCAUCUUCGGUGGUUGAAAACUCAGGUGGUCAGAGAUGGACAUGCGUUGUAUUAGCUAGUUGGUGAGGUAACGGCUCACUAAGGCGACGAUACAUAGGGGGACUGAGAGGUCAACCCCCCACAUUGGUACUGAGACACGGACCAAACUCCUACGGGAGGCAGCAG
rnacentral:rRNA from 1 species